CCCAUUUUACGAACUUUUUUGCCACGGUUGUAAGUCGAGGACGUCCUGUAAAAAAGGGGCCAUGCAAUGCAUCAGAAAGAUGCUGGAGUUUCAGCCGCUUGCAGGAAAAAGGAUGGAGCUGCUGUAAGGAUUUGCAAGCAGAUGCUUUAUAUCCUCUGAAGCAUCUUGAAGAAAUUUAAUGUGCACAGCCUUGGAGUCUCUUUAGAUGCUGCUAAAACUGUUGAUGGCCACACUAAACAUGGCACUUUCAUUCUCUGCAAGCUGCAAAACUGUUUCCCUUUAAAUUAAUUGGGAAAUAAUUUUAAUGUUUAAAUGUUUUUAAAGAAAUAUGGAACAAGACACAUUAGGGUAACAAGACAGUCUAUGCCUCUGGGCAUUAGAAACCCACUUUGUUUACUUUUGGAUGCGUAUAAAAUUCUAGAUUUUAAAAACAGAAUCCAUGGAAUGUUAAUGGAUUUGUUUUUAUUGAUAAUGACUGAAGCUGAAGCACCUAAAAUCAUUGGGAGUAUUACUUUUGGCUUUUUCCUUUCCCUAUUUUUUUUUCCUGAAACAGUUUUAUAUCUUCCCUGCUAGCUUUAAACACUCUUGUCAUUUGACAUCUUCUAUGUCUGACUCAGAAGGUGACUCACCUUUGCUGCCCUUGAUAAGUAAAGCUCAACUGGAGUCCAAAUUCCUCCGAAAAUACAUAGCUGAAACUUCUAUGACAGGGGAGCUAAGCUCUUCAAGGCUAAAUUUUCUUCUUUCUCACCCUUCAGUUGUGAACAGUUAAUCCCCAUUCCAUGCACUUUUAAGGUACCUGAUUUAUAUCCCGUUUGUUUCUCAUCAUUAAAAAAAAAAAAAAGUCAAUUUAUGUAGUCUCGCUCUGUAAAACAUUUACCUGUAAGACCUUCUAACUGAAAAACAAUAAGAGGCAAAACAACACAGAUUGUCUAUGGAGAUUCUCAUCAGAGGUGGUAUUCAGCAGGUUCUGACCAGUUCU